AGUGAACGCUGGCGGUAGGCCUAACACAUGCAAGUCGAACGGCAGCACAGUAAGAGCUUGCUCUUACGGGUGGCGAGUGGCGGACGGGUGAGGGAUACAUCGGAAUCUACUUUUUCGUGGGGGAUAACGUAGGGAAACUUACGCUAAUACCGCAUACGACCUACGGGUGAAGGCAGGGGAUCUUCGGACCUUGCGCGAUUGAAUGAGCCGAUGUCGGAUUAGCUAGUUGGCGGGGUAAAGGCCCACCAAGGCGACGAUCCGUAGCUGGUCUGAGAGGAUGAUCAGCCACACUGGAACUGAGACACGGUCCAGACUCCUACGGGAGGCAGCAGUGGGGAAUAUUGGACAAUGGGCGCAAGCCUGAUCCAGCCAUACCGCGUGGGUGAAGAAGGCCUUCGGGUUGUAAAGCCCUUUUGUUGGGAAAGAAAAGCAGCAGGUUAAUACCCCGCUGUUCUGACGGUACCCAAAGAAUAAGCACCGGCUAACUUCGUG
rnacentral:rRNA from 1 species